rnacentral:lncRNA from 1 species
UGGAGCUCAUAUUCGAAUGGAGAAAAUGUCAACAAGUAUCCCACGGAGUGAACACUUCAAAAGGAGAAGCACAGGUGAGAAAAUCGAAUUUGGACACCGUUGAGGAGACUAUUGCAGUCAUCCAAGCUCAAGAUGGUGGAGCUUCAUCCUUGAGAAUAACCAAUGGGGAUAGAUUUAAGAGACACUUAGAGUCUGCAGCCAACAGGGCUGAAUGAGCAGAGAGUUAUGAUUCAGAAGAUCAUCUAAAAUUGAACAGCUGCCACUACUGGCAAUAAGUCUACUGCCAUUUGGUAGAUAACCUUCUUAUCACACAGAAAAAUAUCAGUACAGACAAAUAGACCGCAAAGAAAAUGAGACCAUCAGCAAAGAAGAUAAAGAAGUUUGUACAAAGCAACUUUUUAUAAAUGGAUGGCUGUCAGGCAAAAAUAAAUUUCCUGUGGACAAGACCAAGAGCAAGGCAAGAGGAAAAUAAACAUGUUUAAACU